rnacentral:rRNA from 1 species
UACGGGGGGGGUAAGCGUUGUUCGGAAUUACUGGGCGUAAAGGGCGCGUAGGCGGCCUUCUAAGUCAGACGUGAAAUCCCCCGGCUUAACCUGGGAACUGCGUCUGAUACUGGGAGGCUUGAGUAUGGGAGAGGGAUGUAGAAUUCCAGGUGUAGCGGUGAAAUGCGUAGAUAUCUGGAGGAUACCGGUGGCGAAGGCGGCAUCCUGGACCAUAACUGACGCUGAGGCGCGAAAAGCUAGGGGAGCAAACGGGG